rnacentral:rRNA from 1 species
UACGAAGGGGGCUAGCGUUGUUCGGAAUUACUGGGCGUAAAGCGCACGUAGGCGGGUUGUUAAGUCAGGGGUGAAAUCCUGGAGCUCAACUCCAGAACUGCCUUUGAUACUGGGAAUCUCGAGUCCGGGAGAGGUGAGUGGAACUGCGAGUGUAGAGGUGAAAUUCGUAGAUAUUCGCAAGAACACCAGUGGCGAAGGCGGCUCACUGGCCCGGUACUGACGCUGAGGUGCGAAAGCGUGGGGAGCAAACAGG